UGGCACUGCACAUAGAUGCUGCUUUUCUGAAUUCUUGGAGACUUGUUGUGAGAAAAAUACCUGUCCUUUGCCAAGCCCAAAGGGGAGAGGGCUUAGCACAGGGGUGGAGACUUGGUCUCCCCACAGGUGGCAAAGAUUCAGGAGCACAUGGCAUCUGUGAAAAUCCCAUAUCAGAUGCACUCAAAUCAUGGGGAGAGAGGUGAGAUGGUUACUCCUGUCCACACUCUUGCAUUUUAGGGGGCAGAGGAAUUGCUGAAUACAACAUACAGAACACCUUGAACUGUCCUCUUCAUCCCUCCUACAGAAAAACUGCCAAGAGUGCAAUGACUUGGUGAGCUCCUGGAGAAGACUUUUGCAGUGAGCAGGACUGUCCCUGAAGCAAAAGGAAGCUGGGAGAGCUUGGCUCUUCCCAAAGAAGAAAACUUUGAUCCGUCUCCUUGGCUGGACUGCAGAACAGCAUUGCACCAUCAUUUCUGAUGGCUCAUGAACUCUGUGAGCACACCUUCUCAUCCUGGCCGUGGUACCCCUGUGCUGUGGUGAUGUGCUGUUGCACUUCUGCCUGCCUGAAGGAUGUACACUACCCCCAGAAGAAACCAGUUCUGCUCUUUUCCCUGUCUGCUGGAGAGAAGAAUAAGAAAGCUAUUUCUCCUCUACAUGAUAGCAUCUGGAGAUAACAGAGAAGAGCCUUUGGGUUGAGCAUGUAGAGAAGAUGGAAGAAAAAAACAAAGAGGGAGGAAAAUCUGUGUGUGGAAUAACCAUGUUAAGAUCCUUGUCAGCCUUUUCCUGAGGCCAUCUUCUGUGACAUGGGAAAGGCAAAGGCAAGUCCUAUCAGAGAGGUGCAGUGGUGGGAAGGUGGGAUGGGUAAGAAGCAUCACAGCUUCUAGGGAACUGAAUGCUUUUCCAGAGUAUUUUAACAGAGUACUGGGUAGCCUGACUUGGCUGUUUUUGUUUUUAAAGAGCUGUGUUUAUUUGGGCAGUACUUUUGUUUGGCUUUCCAAGGACAAACAGACCACUGGAGAUGGUGAACACUCUGUGUGCACAUGGCCUUUUCUAAUGGACUGUGGUGGAGUCAUCUGGCAGUUUUGCCACUUUGAGGGUUCUUUGCUCUCUAGGUCACUGGCACAAAGAGUAUUUUUGAUGUCAACAUAGAACAAAGUUCCCUGUGAUCAGCUGCCUGUUUACUGCAAACUCACCUAUGGCUAAAGCCUGUUUAGAAGCAGAAGAAACUCCAGUACAGCAGGACAGUGAACUCUGGAGCAAAAGUCUAUAGCAAGCCUUCUCUCAGGUGGAAACAAUGGGCUUGUCCACAUAAAAUUUUCUUUCUGCCAGGCUCCCUGACUGCUGGGACCCCAAAUUUCUUGACCGUCAAGGAGAAGGUUAUUUAGACUUUAUUUUUAUUAAGCAAACAAACACUUCCUCACAAAUAUCUGCAAAUCUGUUAUGGCUUCUCACACAACUCUGCACUGUUAAUUAAAUUGUGUUUCACUAAUGCACACAUUGAAUAUAAAAAAUCAUUAAAUAAAUGACCUGCCUUUUCUCUUCA
rnacentral:lncRNA from 1 species